rnacentral:rRNA from 1 species
UACGGAGGGUGCAAGCGUUAUCCGGAUUCACUGGGUUUAAAGGGUGCGUAGGUGGGGAGGUAAGUCAGCGGUGAAAUCCCCGAGCUUAACUUGGGAACUGCCAUUGAUACUAUCUCUCUUGAAUAUCUUGGAGGUGAGCGGAAUAUGUCAUGUAGCGGUGAAAUGCUUAGAUAUGACAUAGAACACCAAUUGCGAAGGCAGCUCACUACACGGUAAUUGACACUGAGGCACGAAAACGUGGGGAUCAAACAGG